GACUGGUUAGCUUAAGUUAAAGCACUAGACUUUUAAUCUGGGUAUGGCGUGACCACCGGUUA
rnacentral:tRNA from 1 species